UUUCGCGGACGAAACUCCUUUUUAGGAGGGGUGAAUGUAACACACUGGACCUUUGCAAAUUGCGAGGUUCGAGUGGUUGGUUGUGUGCUGAGAAAUUUCAGACUUUCUGGUGGGUCGUUGACAGUGUUCCGACCUAUGGCUCGCAUCCCGAGAAGUGAGGUUUAAAGCCUAGCACAAAAAUCCGAAAAAUCGGAUUUUUGGUCAGCUCUCGGGUAGCUUUCAGCAGAGCUUGUACCGGUACAAGGUUGAUGGCUGUACCGGUACAAAGCUGGUGUUUGUACCGUACAGGGUGCUUGUACCGGUACAGGGCCGGUUACCCCGCCAACCCGAGCCUCGGGUUGUGAUUUUCGUGGGGCUUGUACCGGUACAAGGGCCCGUGUACCGGUACAAGGAGGCUGAUUUCGUGCAGUUUGAACUGCAGGGGUGUUUUUGCAAUUGUGGAUCUCUUAU
rnacentral:lncRNA from 1 species